GGUCCAUAGCUCUUUAAAUCAUGGGCAUCCAAGUGUUGGAUGCAUGGGAGGAAUUUAAUGUGAAGAAAAGUUCUCCACAUCAUGUUUCAUCUCACCCCUUGAUGCAUUGCAUUAAAGGGUUUCAUGCAUUUAUUAGGUGGUGCCUUAAUUCCUCUUGCCAUUACUCCUUCUUAUCUCUUGUUUUAAGGAGUCAAUGACUCUUUGAUUUCACUCCACACCACCUAAGAUAAGAGUCUCUUAGGAAUUCACGUGAAGGAGGUUUAAGGGCC
rnacentral:lncRNA from 1 species